rnacentral:rRNA from 1 species
AAAGGGCGCGUAGGCGGAAUGCUUUGUCGGGCGUGAAAUUCCAGGGCUUAACCUUGGGGCUGCGUUCGAGACGGGUAUUCUAGAGUGGAGAAGAGGGUCGUGGAAUUCCCAGUGUAGAGGUGAAAUUCGUAGAUAUUGGGAAGAACACCGGUGGCGAAGGCGGCGACCUGGUCUUUUACUGACGCUGAGGCGCGAAAGCGUGGGGAGCAAACAGGAUUAGAUACCCCAGU